GCAUAAAAAAAAAUCCAAAGCCGGCAUGGACAAGUCAUCGGUGCUAUUUUUUAAUUGACGAGCAUGGAUGAACUGUACCAAAAACUAGAUGAGUGUUCUUCUAGUAUAACGUGGGAGAGCAUACCUUAAGCUCUGCAUUAGUGAGCUUUUCACAUGCUACAGGAGAGCGAUUUCGGCUCACCUGUGUUUGCAAUGGAAGGUUGAGGCUCGCUCAUGUGGGUAAG
rnacentral:lncRNA from 1 species